CAGUAGCCGCGGUAAAACGAAGGGUGCAAGCGUUAAUCGGAAUUACUGGGCGUAAAGCGUGCGCAGGCGGUUUGUUAAGACAGAUGUGAAAUCCCCGGGCUCAACCUGGGAACUGCAUUUGUGACUGGCAAGCUAGAGUGUGGCAGAGGGGGGUGGAAUUCCGCGUGUAGCAGUGAAAUGCGUAGAUAUGCGGAGGAACACCGAUGGCGAAGGCAGCCCCCUGGGCCAACACUGACGCUCAUGCACGAAAGCGUGGGGAGCAAACAGGAUUAGAUACCCCCGUAGUCCCUGUCUCUUAUAC
rnacentral:rRNA from 1 species